CCAAUAGCGUAUAUUAAAGUUGUUGCAGUUAAAAAGCUCGUAGUUGAAUUUCGGGAUCAGUACGCUGGUCGUGCCUUCGGUAUGUACUGGUGUUACUGGUUCCUACCUUCUGACGAACCGUCAUGUCAUUAAUUUGGUGUGGCGGGGAAUCAGGACUGUUCCUUUGAAAAAAUUAGAGUGUUUAAAGCAGGCUCGCGGUUGGAUACAUUAGCAUGGAAUAAUGAAAUAGGACGUUUGAUCCUAUUUUGUUGGUUUCUAGGAUUGACGUAAUGAUUAAUAGGGAUAGUUGGGGGCAUUAGUAUUCAAUUGUCAGAGGUGAGAUUCUUGGAUUUAUUGAAGACUAACUACUGCGAAAGCAUUUGCCAAGGAUGUUUUCGUUAAUCAAGAACGAAAGUUAGGGGAUCGAAGACGAUCAGAUACCGUCGUAGUCUUAACCAUAAACUAUGCCGACUAGGGAUCGGAUGAUGUUAAUUUUUUAAUGACUCAUUCGGCGCCUUACG
rnacentral:rRNA from 1 species